rnacentral:misc_RNA from 1 species
CCUUUCAUUGCAGCAGAAUUGGGAUGGUUGAGUAUCUCGCCUCUCCGUUCUGCCUGUAUUCUACCCUUGUUUGUCAUAUACUAUUAUUCCUCGCAGGCUUGCCUGCCGAGUGAAACCAUUUAUAACCUUUUAAUUUUCAAUCAGCGUCUGAAAAAUUAAUAAUUAC